CAGGCUUAACACAUGCAAGUCGAGGGGCAGCAUGGUCUUAGCUUGCUAAGGCCGAUGGCGACCGGCGCACGGGUGAGUAACACGUAUCCAACCUGCCGUCUACUCUUGGACAGCCUUCUGAAAGGAAGAUUAAUACAAGAUGGCAUCAUGAGUCCGCAUGUUCACAUGAUUAAAGGUAUUCCGGUAGACGAUGGGGAUGCGUUCCAUUAGAUAGUAGGCGGGGUAACGGCCCACCUAGUCUUCGAUGGAUAGGGGUUCUGAGAGGAAGGUCCCCCACAUUGGAACUGAGACACGGUCCAAACUCCUACGGGAGGCAGCAGUGAGGAAUAUUGGUCAAUGGGCGAGAGCCUGAACCAGCCAAGUAGCGUGAAGGAUGACUGCCCUAUGGGUUGUAGACUUCUUUUAUAAAGGAAUAAAGUCGGGUAUGGAUACCCGUUUGCAUGUACUUUAUGAAUAAGGAUCGGCUAACUCCGUGCCAGCAGCCGCGGUAAUACGGAGGAUCCGAGCGUUAUCCGGAUUUAUUGGGUUUAAAGGGAGCGUAGAUGGAUGUUUAAGUCAGUUGUGAAAGUUUGCGGCUCAACCGUAAAAUUGCAGUCGAUACUGGAUAUCUUGAGUGCAGUUGAGGCAGGCGGAAUUCGUGGUGUAGCGGUGAAAUGCUUAGAUAUCACGAAGAACUCCGAUUGCGAAGGCAGCCUGCUAAGCUGCAACUGACAUUGAGGCUCGAAAGUGUGGGUAUCAAACAGGAUUAGAUACCCCUGGUAGUCCACACGGUAAACGAUGAAUACUCGCUGUUUGCGAUAUACUGCAAGCGGCCAAGCGAAAGCGUUAAGUAUUCCACCUGGGGAGUACGCCGGCAACGGUGAAACUCAAAGGAAUUGACGGGGGCCCGCACAAGCGGAGGAACAUGUGGUUUAAUUCGAUGAUACGCGAGGAACCUUACCCGGGCUUAAAUUGCAGAUGAAUUACGGUGAAAGCCGUAAGCCGCAAGGCAUCUGUGAAGGUGCUGCAUGGUUGUCGUCAGCUCGUGCCGUGAGGUGUCGGCUUAAGUGCCAUAACGAGCGCAACCCUUGUUGUCAGUUACUAACAGGUCAUGCUGAGGACUCUGACAAGACUGCCAUCGUAAGAUGUGAGGAAGGUGGGGAUGACGUCAAAUCAGCACGGCCCUUACGUCCGGGGCUACACACGUGUUACAAUGGGGGGUACAGAGGGCCGCUACCACGCGAGUGGAUGCCAAUCCCCAAAACCUCUCUCAGUUCGGACUGGAGUCUGCAACCCGACUCCACGAAGCUGGAUUCGCUAGUAAUCGCGCAUCAGCCACGGCGCGGUGAAUACGUUCCCGGGCCUUGUACACACCGCCCGUCAAGCCAUGGGAGCCGGGGGUACCUGAAGUGCGUAACCGCGAGGAGCGCCCUAGGGUAAAACUGGUGACUGGGGCUAAGUCAUAACA
rnacentral:rRNA from 1 species